rnacentral:pre_miRNA from 1 species
UUGAAACAUAAUCUCUUCUUUGGUCAUCUGGCUUUGUGAUAGAGAAAUUAUCAUCGUAAAGCUAAAUUACCAAAGUGCUAGAAAAUGUUGGAU